ACUGGAGGAAGGUGGGGAUGACGUCAAGUCAUCAUGGCCCUUACGACCAGGGCUACACACGUGCUACAAUGGCGCAUACAAAGAGAAGCGACCUCGCGAGAGCAAGCGGACCUCAUAAAGUGCGUCGUAGUCCGGAUUGGAGUCUGCAACUCGACUCCAUGAAGUCGGAAUCGCUAGUAAUCGUGGAUCAGAAUGCCACGGUGAAUACGUUCCCGGGCCUUGUACACACCGCCCGUCACACCAUGGGAGUGGGUUGCAAAAGAAGUAGGUAGCUUAACCUUCGGGAGGGCGCUUACCACUUUGUGAUUCAUGACUGGGGUGAAGUCGUAACAAGGUAACCGUAGGGGAACCUGCGGUUGGAUCACCUCCUUACCUGAAAGAA
rnacentral:rRNA from 3 species